GAGCGAGUGGGUUUGGUUACGGCGGAGCGGGGGAUAGUCCCAUUGGUUUGCGACGAUCUGAAUGGGCGUGACUCCAGCGGACCUAAGCCCCGCCCACGUCUUAAAACCGAGCUCAGCAGAGUAUGUAAGCUUGGUGGUAACUCUCUGCAAAAAGGAAAUGCCAGAAGGUGCAUCAAGUCCAUCUAUGCAACAACAACAAAAAAAAAAGGUGAGUGGUUGUUUAUGAAAGCUCCAUGCACAUGUAUCAGAACAACUCCCUGUUCUGAUUCAAGGAGAAUGACGAGUUCCAGUGCCCUGAAAGCCCCGGAGCUCUGAAUCACUGAUUCAGCCUACGAAAAAAAGCGAGCUGUAGUUGCCUGUGGUUGAAAUACUCACAGAAAGCUUCACAGCAGAGGCAGAGACAACCCAAAGUUUGAUGAGGCCCAAAGCAGAAUUUGAUGUUGGGGCCCGUUUUAGUACAAAAUUUAUGGUUUGCAUAUUGUACAUUUAACAUUGUGGCAGUUUUUGAUCUUGAUGAUAUGGCUCACUUCCCUGGGCAGCAGGGAAAGUUUGUCAACUGUGCUGACAUAUAUAAAGUUAGUAAAAGCAAAGAGUGGUUAUUAGACUUGUGGUUGAAGAAAUCAACCACAAGUCUAAUAACUUGUAGAAGUAAAAAUUUAAAUAGAGUCCAGGUUUGACCAGUUUAGCAUCAGAAAAGUUAAUUUUGCUUGUAAGCUGUAUAGGCCUGGCGCAGGCAGUACAACAGUUGUCAGGCUAAAUAUUUACAUACCACAUUUGGUAAAACAUUUUUAAAGGUUUUGUGAUUGUGAUAAAUGUUGCAGAAGUAUUCCAUUCUAACUGUAUAUGAAACCAAGAAUCAUUAAACAUUUUUGUAAGACCAAUCAGUUUAAUUAUUUUAAAAUAUAUAUAUAUAUAAUAAAGUUGUGUAUAAAACUGGAAACAUUUUCAAAAUGGGUGCUCAGACAUGUCAGGAGAGAAUUUGGAAAUAGGCUUAUUCUCGGUGAACUUGACUGUAAUAUCAAACUAUUUUCAGUGUGAAAAUGUAGGUAUUGUACUUUUUCUCAUUUUAAUGGGAGUUCCAAAGAAAAAAAUUUAAAUUCUCAUAUCCAUGUAAACAGUCAGUCACUAAAAGUAGGUCAUAUAUACACAUUUUCCAUCAGAAAUGGUAACGUUUAUAAAAGUGCUUAGUCUAACUGAGAAAGAAACCAUGAUUAAAUUCAGUUAAUUUAUGUAGUGCUAAAUUAUAACCAAUCUUCUUCAUCUUAGGACAUUUCACAAAUAAGACAGAUUCAUAUGCAGUUAUGUAAAAAAAAACAAGCUUAGUUUAAUUUCAGUUCAUUCCAUUCCACUCAAACAAUUUGUGUAGAUUGAAUAUAAUAUCAAUUUAUGUCAGUCACAUUGUUUUAGUUUAUUUUUACACCAGGUAAUAACAGAAGAUAUAUAAAACUCACAAGAGAGUCUUGUAAAUUGUCUUUUGCAUCAUUGCAUUUCUCCUUGUAAUAUCUAGGAAAUUAGAGGCUGCUGCAUCUAAAUGUCUGAUGUGUCUUCUGUGCGACAGGUGCUGUUGGCCAUCAAGGGAGAAGAAAAGGAGAAAAAAUGGUGGAGGAAAGACAAGAGAAGGAGGAGGAGGCUAAGAGUGCAGCUAAUAUUUUAAGAUAAUCCUCUUGACCUGUUCUCUUCUCCUUAUGUAAACUCGGUGCUGUUCGCUUGCAGCUAUUGCCGCACACACUGACAGGAGGGGCGCUAUUCUGCAACCAGACAUAAAUACAAUCAUCGCGCCACGCAAACUCCCAGAAGUGUCCCUUUUUUUCCUCUGUUUUUGCAGAACAUAUAUUUAAGAGAAAAAUACAUCCGCUACCAGAUGAGAAGGGAUGGGAAGGUCAGCCCAGAGGUCAGCGGACAUGGUUGUUUUCACACCCACUUUACAGCCGUGUCUGCAUUCCUGUCCUGGUGAGUCUCAUCUCUGUCUCACAUGCAAUAAGUUGAUAACAGGCACGUUUAACUCAAUAUGCCCUCAGAAUACACUCCCAGCUGCUUUCAUUUUCUCCUAAUCAUCCUUAUCCUCUUCUUCACCUACUGUCAAGUGAGCGACGGUAAUAACAUUGUUUUUUCUUUUUCCACUUAUUCCAGCAGAGUGAUGUAAAGAUCUUUUUAAUAUUUAAAAAAGAACAAUUCUGUUCGACUAUUGAGAAGAAGGACAGAAUGGCGAUACAUUUAUUAUAAUAGUUCCCAAAUAAAUGUAUUUUUCAUCACUUUUUCUCUUCCGUUAUUGUGUGCUUUUUUGUUAGUCUCCUCAAUAAAUAGUCCAAGUAACACUUGAUGGGCACAAUCACUUCUGAUUCCCUAUAGACGCCAUUUACCUAGGAGAUUUUAUAUUCCAUUUCCAUUUGAGUCAAGAUUUUUUGGUAAUGUCUUUUUGAUAAAGGAUAACAGGCUUCAUCAAGAGCUUUACUUUGAUAUAUUCCAGUCAUUCUGGCCAAAAAUGACAAGGAUUUGGCUCUGAGCCUGAGGUUUUCCUCUUCUCAGAUUCAGUGAUCAGCAUGCACACACAGCCAGGGUCGGGAGGAGGAUGGGUUGGAGAAAAUGAGUGUCUGGCUGGGUGGUGGGAUGAUUUAUAACUUUUAUUAACGUUACCGUUUUUUUGUGAUCAGGGCAAUUAGCAAAGAAAUCAUAACAAUGACUCAUUAAUAGAGGUGAAAAAACGCAGCUCUGUUUUCCUGGUGUCAGAAUGGCGGGUCGGGCACACCAACAAGCAAUUACAGACAUGAAAGGGACCUUUUGAACAGGUCCUUUUGAAAAUAUCUGCCAAUUAACGAUCUAUAACCUGCAUGAAAAAAGAAAGUCAAAUUGUCAAAGAAUAAAUUAAAAUGAUGCUUCCACCUUUUUGAAUAGAGAUUUCCAGUAUCUUCCAAUAGAUGUGAAUUUCAGUAAUCAUGUAUGACAAAGUAAACUCUAAAUCAAUUAAUGGAUAUAAUUAAAUGGACUGUGAUAGCUUGUUUUUCAUACUAUAACCAUAGCAAGUUGAAUUUAAAGGCAUGUUCAAGACCUUCAGAAUAGAAAGUGAUGUCACCUGAAACACAGAUGCAGUCAUUAUGGGUAGGUGCAAUAUGUGUUCAUGGGUUGAGUGUCUUAGCCUUCUAAUGUCUGAAAAGACAAAUCAAACUGGUCCUAUACUGGACUAAAAUUAAGUGGAAAAAGCAGCGUUCAGACAGUCUGAAAAGUCUUGCUAAAACCUAUUCAUAUGUGCACGAAAAGGUUUGACUCUAUAUAUAAAGAAACCAGGGUUAUCAGUCAGGGAUCUUGCACCAUGCACUAUAGCAGUAUGUCAUCCAGUCUCUGGCAAUAGUAUUUAUCCCUUUAACUUUUUCACAAUUUGUCACAACCACAAACUUCAUGUUAUGUUAUUUGGAUUUUGCCAAGAUGGUCAUGGUCACUCUGGAAAAAUUUUAGUUUCAAACUGCAGGUGGGAAAAUCAGUAGACAGGACGACUAUAAAUUUUGCACUGGAUAAAUGUAUCUCUUAUGGUGGAGUGGCAAGAAGAAGGUCAUUGUUGAAAUAAAGUUACAACACAAGGGGUCUAGAGGGCACAGCAAGCAUGUGAAACAUGGCACUCUGGUCAGUUGCAACCAAAGUUGAACAUUUUACGAAACCUGUUGCAGAAAUGUAGCAUCACCUUGAGCACACUAUCUUCCCAUAACAUGGUGGUAGCAACAUCAUGUUAUGGCAUCGCCUUUCUUCAGCAGGCACAGAGAAGCUGGUUGGAGUUGUUGAUGUAUAAAGCAACGUAGGGCAAUUCUGGAAGAAAACUUGCUGCAAAAGACUGGAGUAGAGGUUCACCUUCCAGCAACUGUAAAGAUACAGCCAGGACUAAAAUGACUGGUUCAGAUAAAAGCAUCUUCUUAAGUUAGAAUAGCCCAUAUGUUGAAAUUUAAUGCUUAAAUAUACUAUUAAUCCAGUUUAACUGAGCUGCACAUAUUUUUGAAAGAAUAGUUAGUGGAAAUUGUCACUGUUGAAUUGAACCCCAAAUUACUUAAGCCUCUAAUUGCAGUGAAAGGUGCUUUUUCCAUGUAUCGAUUUAGAGGAGUUAAGGACAUGCCACACACCUCUGGUCUUAAUUUGUAAAAA